rnacentral:rRNA from 1 species
CAGUAGCCGCGGGAAUACGUAGGGUCCAAGCGUUAAUCGGAAUUACUGGGCGUAAAGCGUGCGCAGGCGGUUCGUUAAGACAGAUGUGAAAUCCCCGGGCUUAACCUGGGAACUGCAUUUGUGACUGGCGGGCUAGAGUAUGGCAGAGGGGGGUAGAAUUCCACGUGUAGCAGUGAAAUGCGUAGAGAUGUGGAGGAAUACCGAUGGCGAAGGCAGCCCCCUGGGCUAAUACUGACGCUCAUGCACGAAAGCGUGGGGAGCAAACAGGAUUAGAUACCCCUGUAGUCCCUGUCUCUUAUAC